UUAUUUGCAAUAUUGUUUUUGUUUUAUUUACAGUAUUGUCUUUGUUUUUUUAUCUAAACAGCUAUGUUUGACUCAAAUAUAGUAAAUGUUGAUUGUUUAGUAUUGUUUCAUCUCUUCUUUAUACUUUUUUUUUGACAGUUAUGAGACUGCCUUAGAACGGAAUUAUCUGUGCCUCCAGCUUAAAAAGAUGCAGGUUACAAAAAAAGUGACACUGAUGAGAUUGUCUCUCAGUUUCUCAAAGAUUGAAUAAAUCUUUAGUGUUUUAGGGUUAAGUGAUUCCAUCAGAGCUUAGCUUGACUAUCUCUUUCGAUUUAUUGAAUUUAUUUGCCAGUUAUAGAGGAAAAAAGAUCUUCUAAACCUAGAAGAAAAAUUAUGAUACCUUAUGAAUCAAUAGUAUAUAUCAGUGAAUUGAUAUUAGUUAAUAGUUUUUGGAAACAGUACCAUAUGAACUUUCUUACUUCGGUUGGAGGAGAUGAGAAACAACUUACAGCGGCAAUCUUAAUACAGCUAAUGGCCAAAGAAGUAUGUUUUUCAUACUAAGUGUAUGGAAUGAAACAAAAACGUCCUGCAAGGUCGUUAUAGAGUUGCGUUUAGUCAUUUAUCGUUGUAUUCGUUCAUUUCGAAAUCGCUACUGACAAAAGUAUUAAAGAAAAAAUUGGCAGCUUUCUGGCGACGGCCAUUAAUAGAGAUUACGGAA
rnacentral:misc_RNA from 1 species